AAAGAAACCAACCGGGAUUGCCUCAGUAACGGCGAGUGAAGCGGCAAGAGCUCAAAUUUGAAAGCUGGCUCCUUCGGGGUCCGCAUUGUAAUUUGCAGAGGAUGCUUCGGGUACAGCCCCCAUCUAAGUGCCCUGGAACGGGCCGUCAUAGAGGGUGAGAAUCCCGUAUGGGAUGGGGUGUCUGUGUCCGUGUGAAGCUCCUUCGACGAGUCGAGUUGUUUGGGAAUGCAGCUCUAAAUGGGUGGUAAAUUUCAUCUAAAGCUAAAUAUUGGCCGGAGACCGAUAGCGCACAAGUAGAGUGAUCGAAAGAUGAAAAGCACUUUGAAAAGAGAGUUAAAAAGCACGUGAAAUUGUUGAAAGGGAAGCGCUUGCGACCAGACUCGCCUGCGGGGUUCAGCUGGCCUUCGGGCCGGUGUACUUCCCCGUGGGCGGGCCAGCGUCGGUUUGGACGGCCGGUCAAAGGCCCCCGGAAUGUAGCGCCUCUCGGGGCGCCUUAUAGCCGGGGGUGUAAUGCGGCCUGUCUGGACCGAGGAACGCGCUUCGGCACGGACGCUGGCAUAAUGGUCGUAAGCGAC
rnacentral:rRNA from 1 species